CCUACGGGAGUCAGCAGUGGGGAAUAUUGCACAAUGGGGAAAACCCUGAUGCAGCGACGCCGCGUGAGUGCAGAAGUAUCUCGGUACGUAAAGCUCUAUCAGCAGGGAAGAAAAUGACGGUGCCUGACUAAGAAGCCCCGGCUAACUACGUGCCAGCAGCCGCGGUAAUACGUAGGGGGAAAGCGUUGUUCUGCUUUACUGGGUGUUAAGGGAGCGUAGACGGCAGCACAAGUCGUGAGUGAAAUCCCGGGGCUUAACCCCGGAACUGCUUUGGAAACUGUGCGGCUGGAGUGCAGGAGGGGUAAGCGGAAUUCCUAGUGUAGCGGUGAAAUGCGUAGAUAUUAGGAGGAACACCGGUGGCGAAGGCGGCUUACUGGACUGUAACUGACGUUGAGGCUCGAAAGCGUGGGGAGCAAACAGGAUUAGAUACCCUUGUAGUC
rnacentral:rRNA from 1 species